rnacentral:antisense_RNA from 1 species
GGUCCCAUCCAGAUACCACAUGACACCCGGUUGUCCUGUCUUCGGAGGCUCCUCCUGGCUGGGACAGCUUCUCAGACUUUCCUUGCUGCGAUGGCUGCUCAAGCUUUGAGGAAUACAGUCAGUGUUCUGUAGAACGUCUCUCUCGCUACUGAAAUUCGUCUAAUGUUUUUCUCACGAUUAGACUGGGGUUGGGCGUGUUUAGAAAGAAGACCACAGAAGUAAAGUGCCUCCCUCAUCACACCGUGUCAAGGGUACACACCACCAUGUGACUUCUCCCUGUCACUGCUGACCUGGCCGCCUGGCUGAGGCAGGAUUGCUCAGCUUCCUCCAUUCUCAGCUUUACACUUGUGAUCUCCUUUCCACGCUGCACUCGCUGGAAGGGAGUCACUGUAUGCAGCCAACACUGAAGGAAUGAAGUUAUUCCACACAGGAUUUAGAAUGCUCCACAGAUGAUUUGUCUGCUCUUCCUAUUUAUUUUACAUCACUCUGCUUUUGUGAUACCAGCGACAGAACUCUGCAAACAUCUCUGCUUCGCAGCUGGCAUCCUGUUGGAUUUUUCCAGUAGAGGGAAGCUUCCAUGCUGCAGGAAGAAGGGGCGUGCUCCUUCCCGUUCCUGUCAGCACUGCUGCAGCAGUUUGCUCUCACAGCUGCAUGUGAUCCCAGUUGCCAUUUCUGACCUGCUCAGAACCAGCUUCAUGAUGGGCUCAAAGACCC